AUAGCCAUAAUGAUAAAAAGCCACACCUGUCUACAAGAAUACAGGGCACUGGCUUGUCUCCUGCUUUCUGGGAGAGAACAAUGACAACAUGAGUGAAGAUGGAAACGGGGUGACUUGGGUGCUCAGGUGGACUUUACUGCUGCUGGAGCCUUCAGCUGGGCGCCGGUGAGAAAAGGUGACCUACGAUUUGGAUGUAUGCACCGAGGAUCGACUGAAAGAGCGACCGACCGAUCGACCUUCCUUCCUCCCCCUUUCCUCUGUCCUCCCUCACCUUCUCUCUCUCUCUUCUACAUCUUGAGACAGGAGCCGUUCACGAACAAGUUGAAUCAGACGUGAUAACAAACUGUUGCCUCACUUUGCCUUCACAGUUAAUGGAUGACGGUCAAAAAGAAAGAAAAUGGAAACUAACACGACCAAUGACAGAAAAGAAGAAAAGGUUAGAAAACAAAAGCUCUUGGGUCCUGCAGGGUGGGAGCAGCAGCUGGACGGGCAGCACUCAGAUCAAGCAACACUUUUGUUUCCAUCAGCACCGCCGGAAAAUCCAGAAAGUUAAACAGAACAAUGAGAUACACACGUGGACAGGAGGCUGAACAUGCUCAUGGGUGGCUCUUCAGCUGGACACACACAUGGCAGCUAUUGGACUGCGAGGACGUGGCCGUGACGUGACUGUGGACUCUCAAAGCAUCUGAUAGACCGUGUGUAUGUGUGUGUGUCAUUUGUAAAAAAAUAAAUAAAAUGAUAUAUAUUUUUGAAAUCCAUUUAAAGACA